rnacentral:lncRNA from 1 species
GGGGGUUCGUCAAGCCGUAUACAAUCCACAUAUAUCAUAUCUUCUUUUCAACAUAUCUCUCGAAAAGGGUUUUAUAAGGUAUUACAAUAUCUCCUCCCCAGCACAUUCAUCGGGAAGGGUUUUAAAAAGGUGUUGCCAGUGUUACUCAGGUGUGCCACAAUAGUACCAAUGUUUCAUGAAUAAGUAUGAUAUAAUGAUAUAAUGCUCACAGCAAAUCACAAUGAUUAUUUUCACAACCAAUCACAAUGAUUUUCCACAACCAAC